GGCGGCCCACGCUGUGAAUUCCGUUGGCCCCAGAGCAAAAGGAGAGUCAAGAGUGACUAAAUCAAAGGGAAUACGGUAAAAGGCGGGGGAAAUUACACGGAGUAUGACAUGUAGCGGCUGUAACAACAAUAACAACAAGUUUGUGUUUGGAAAAUGAAGAGGAGUGCAAGGCAACCGGGGAUGAAGCUGCUGCAAAAGAGGGAGUCCCAGUUCCCCCCCCCCAAACACGAAGGGUGAAAAGUUUGUAAUGGACAAGGACGGCGGUUUAAACCUUGCCCAGACCCUAGCUCCAGUGGCCCCCAGGUAAAUUGAGUUUGAGACCCCUGGUAUAAAAGGGUGGACUGAAAACAAGUUCUCCAAGUCCAUCCGAUGUGAAAUAAAUACUAUAAAUAUACUAAAUACAAGAAAAUCUACCGGCAAGUGAAAAGAAUCCUAUAAAGAUUCUCUCACCACAUGACUUCUCCAACCCAAAGAUCCAUGCUCUACAGGCCCGGACAGACAAAUCAGCUUCAAUAAACUAGUCAAGCUCAAGCAAAGUCCUUCUGUUCCAAAGCAGCCCACAUAGGAUGUUGAAACCAGGAAAAUAUUCUGCACAGCGAAGCAACAACACGCCAUCCUGCAUGCUGUCGCUUUGUGAUGACUGAUGGGUGAGGAGGUGUCAAGCUGAGCCACGCCUACUCAGGAGCACUUUUAUUUCACAAUCGGUGAUGCUUCCAAAUUUUUUUUUGGAGUUGCACAGAACGUCAAACGGCCAUCUUGAAUGAUUUCGAGUGAGAACCUGUCAUGGCCGCUCAGUAUAAUAUCGCGAAAGCAACAAUAACUUUAAUAACAUCAAUACCGAAUAUAAUCAUCCACUUCAUUUAUUUUAGUUUUAUUUAGUUGUAUUAUAGAUCAGCAAAAAAAUGUUUUUAGACUGAGAUGACUUAUGAGAUGAGAUGAUUUAUGGCGUUGACUCCACUUCAGUCAUUCUUUCUCUCCAGUUACCUAUGUGCUUUGUGUCUGUCAUAUCACCCAUUUCAUUUAUUUUAGUUUUAUUUAGUUGUAUUAUAAAGUGGGGUUUUUUUUAAGUUGACUUCGCUUAAGCAAUUGUUCUUCUACUUUCUGAUAAAUUACACAUUUGUUUCGUCACCUUAUGAAUUUAUUGUACUUCUAUUUUGUCGUGUUAUGGAGUUAACGCAGCUAACCUCUCUCUAUGAAAAUUAAAAGUGGUACUGUAUUUAUGACAUGGAAUCCAUUUUACUAAUUCUCACACUCCAUGCAUCUGUCAAGUGACCAAAUGUAUUCUAUUGUUGUAUGGGCUUAUUUUUUCAUAUUAUUUUUACUUUAGUUUAAUUUAAUUGUAUUAUACAGAUGUUAACUUUUUUUUACACUUGUAUGCAGUUGACUCCGUCUAAUAAUCUGUAUGACAGUCAAAUGUUAAACUUACUUAAAAUAUUGCCUGUGGAGUCUAUAAUAAAG